AAUAAGAGGAUGUAUUAUUAAACUAAAGCAUGGACUACUAAGUUAAAGCAAGUAGCACACAAGCAAACCUAGAACUAAACAUGCUAGAAAUAACACUAUCAUGCUUGUAAUCAUGCAUAGGAAUCAAUUAAAUGUGUGAGCAAGUUCAAAUGAACCUAAGCAUGAACUAAACUAGCAAGUAUGAUGCUAAACUAAGCAAGCAUGAAGUUAAGCAAAUAUCAUGCUAUGAAGCUAAGCUAAUCAUGCUACUCACCUAAACUAAGCCAGUAUCAUGCUAUGCAAAACCUACUAUCUAAUCAUGCGUCAAGACAAAGCACCCUAACAUACAUCUAGUGAUGG
rnacentral:lncRNA from 1 species